AACGAAAUGCUGAAACCCGAAGCACAGCCACAUACAUAUAACAGAGCAACUCAUAGCCGUUAAACGUCAGCAACGCUAAAGCCUAAAACUCUUCCGAAGUUCCAUAUAUGACAGCCUGUAAGAGUGAAGACACACCAGCAACAUUGUGAAUGGAGGGAGGGAAAUGUGGUAUCUAAUGAAACAGCACCGCACAGCCACACGGUAGAAGUAGACGGGCGAAAGUAUCAGAGAAAUAGGAUACAUUUGAGGGACUUUCUGGUACCACCUCCAAAGACAACCACGUCUGCUGCAAGAGACAUAAAGACAUCAACAAACAGAAUGAAGAUUCGUCAGGAAGCCCAACAGUUCAU
rnacentral:lncRNA from 1 species